GGAAGACUGUUGUUCAGUGGCAGAGCAUCUGCUCUGCGUGCAGAUAGUCCCAAGUUCUGUCCUUGGCAUCUCCA